ACACGGUAAGGAUUGACGGACUGAAGGCUCUUCUCGAUUCCGUGGAAAGUGGUGCAUGGCCGUUUUGGUUGGUGGAUCGAUCCGUCUGGUUAAUUCCGUUAACGAACGAGACCUCGGCACUCCGAAUAGCGCGGCGGACGUCGCGGCCUCCGGGGCCGUCUUCCGCACGAGCUUCUUAGAGGGACCGUCCCCCGCCGGGGAAGGAGGUGCGAGGCAACGACAGGUCUGUGAUGCCCUUAGAUGUUCUGGGCCGCACGCGCAUUACACUGACGCGUCCAACGGGUGACUCCCGACCCGAAGGGGCCGGGGAAUCCGCAAGGCGCGUCGUGAUGGGGAUUGAACGUUGCAAUUGUUGUUCACGAACGAGGAAUUCCUAGUAGGCGCGGGUCAUCAACCCGCGCCGAUUACGUCCCUGCCG
rnacentral:rRNA from 1 species